rnacentral:tRNA from 1 species
GCCCGGCUAGCUCAAUUAGUAGAGCAUGAGGCUCUUAAUCUCAGGGCUAUGGAUUCAAGCCCCCUUUGGGCA